UACGUAGGGGGCAAGCGUUGUCCGGAAUCAUUGGGCGUAAAGAGCGUGUAGGCGGCCAGAUAAGUCCGCUGUGAAAUCUCGAGGCUCAACUUCGAGCUGUCGGUGGAAACUGUCUGGCUAGAGUCCGGAAGAGGAGAAUGGAAUUCCUGGUGUAGCGGUGAAAUGCGCAGAUAUCAGGAAGAACACCAAUGGCGAAGGCAGCUCUCUGGGACGGUACUGACACUGAGACGCGAAAGCGUGGGGAGCGAACAGG
rnacentral:rRNA from 1 species